rnacentral:rRNA from 1 species
UCUACGGGCGGCAGCAGUGGGGAAUAUUGUGCAAUGGGCGAAAGCCUGACGCAGCGACGCCGCGUGAGGGAUGACGGCCUUCGGGUUGUAAACCUCUUUCGCACGGGACGAAGGGUGACUGACGGUACCGUGAGAAGAAGCACCGGCUAACUACGUGCCAGCAGCCGCGGUAAUA